rnacentral:rRNA from 1 species
AUUGAACGCUGGCGGCAUGCUUUACACAUGCAAGUCGAACGGUAACAGGCCUUCGGGUGCUGACGAGUGGCGAACGGGUGAGUAAUGCAUCGGAACGUACCCAGUGGCGGGGGAUAACGCAGCGAAAGCUGUGCUAAUACCGCAUGUGAUCUGAGGAUGAAAGCGGGGGACCGAGCAGCAAUGUUUGGCCUUGCGCCUUUGGAGCGGCCGAUGUCGGAUUAGCUAGUUGGUGGGGUAAAGGCCUACCAAGGCGACGAUGCGUAGCUGGUCUGAGAGGACGACCAGCCACACUGGGACUGAGACACGGCCCAGACUCCUACGGGAGGCAGCAGUGGGGAAUUUUGGACAAUGGGCGCAAGCCUGAUCCAGCAAUGCCGCGUGCGGGAAGAAGGCCUUCGGGUUGUAAACCGCUUUUGGCAGGAACGAAACGGUGUCCGCUAAUACCGGGCGCUAAUGACGGUACCUGCAGAAUAAGCACCGGCUAACUACGUG